UAAUAUCCAUCUCGUAUGGAUUAAAGCUUUAUGCGCUUUGGGAGGGGCCUGCGUAACAUUAGCUUGUUGGUGAGGGUUAAAAAGCUUCACCAAGGCUUCGAUGUUUAACUGGUUUGAGAGGAUGACCAGUCACACUGGGACUGAGAUACGGCCCAGACUCCUACGGGAGGCAGCAGUAAGGAAUCUUCCACAAUGGGGCAACCCUGAUGGAGCAAUACCGCGUGCAGGAUGAAGCGUUUCGGCGUGUAAACUGCUUUUAUCACCGAAGAUUAUGACUGUAGGUGAAGAAUAAGGACCGGCUAACUACGUG
rnacentral:rRNA from 1 species